AUACGGAGGGUGCAAGCGUUAAUCGGAAUUACUGGGCGUAAAGCGUACGUAGGCGGUUCGUUAAGUUAGAUGUGAAAACCCCGGGCUUAACCUGGGAACUGCAUUUAAAACUGGCGGACUAGAGUUGAGUAGAGGGGAGUGGAAUUUCAGGUGUUGCGGUGAAAUGCGUGGAGAUCUGAAGGAACACCAGUGGCGAAGGCGACUCCCUGGACUCGAACUGACGCUGAGGUACGAAAGCGUGGGUAGCAAACGGGAUUAGAAACCCCAGUAGUCC
rnacentral:rRNA from 1 species